CCUACGGGAGGCAGCAGUGGGGAAUAUUGCACAAUGGGCGCAAGCCUGAUGCAGCGACGCCGCGUGCGGGAUGACGGCCUUCGGGUUGUAAACCGCUUUUGACUGGGAGCAAGCCCUUCGGGGUGAGUGUACCUUUCGAAUAAGCACCGGCUAACUACGUGCCAGCAGCCGCGGUAAUACGUAGGGUGCAAGCGUUAUCCGGAAUUAUUGGGCGUAAAGGGCUCGUAGGCGGUUCGUCGCGUCCGGUGUGAAAGUCCAUCGCUUAACGGUGGAUCCGCGCCGGGUACGGGCGGGCUUGAGUGCGGUAGGGGAGACUGGAAUUCCCGGUGUAACGGUGGAAUGUGUAGAUAUCGGGAAGAACACCAAUGGCGAAGGCAGGUCUCUGGGCCGUCACUGACGCUGAGGAGCGAAAGCGUGGGGAGCGAACAGGAUUAGAUACCCUGGUAGUCCACGCCGUAAACGGUGGAUGCUGGAUGUGGGGACCAUUCCACGGUCUCCGUGUCGGAGCCAACGCGUUAAGCAUCCCGCCUGGGGAGUACGGCCGCAAGGCUAAAACUCAAAGAAAUUGACGGGGGCCCGCACAAGCGGCGGAGCAUGCGGAUUAAUUCGAUGCAACGCGAAGAACCUUACCAAGGCUUGACAUGCACGGCGGCACUCCAGAGAUGUGGUGGCAUUUAGUUGGUCGUGUGCAGGUGGUGCAUGGUUGUCGUCAGCUCGUGUCGUGAGAUGUUGGGUUAAGUCCC
rnacentral:rRNA from 1 species